rnacentral:rRNA from 1 species
GGAAGUUACCAGAGAUGGUUCGUGCUCGAAAGAGAACCUGCACACAGGUGCUGCAUGGCUGUCGUCAGCUCGUGUCGUGAGAUGUUGGGUUAAGUCCCGCAACGAGCGCAACCCUUGCCAUCAGUUGCUACGAAAGGGCACUCUGAUGGGACUGCCGGUGACAAACCGGAGGAAGGUGGGGAUGACGUCAAGUCCUCAUGGCCCUUAUAGGUGGGGCUACACACGUCAUACAAUGGCCGGUACAAAGGGCAGCCAACCCGCGAGGGGGAGCCAAUCCCAUAAAGCCGGUCGUAGUCCGGAUCGCAGUCUGCAACUCGACUGCGUGAAGUCGGAAUCGCUAGUAAUCGUGGAUCAGCAUGUCACGGUGAAUACGUUCCCGGGUCUU